rnacentral:rRNA from 1 species
GAUAAACGCUGGCGGCGUGCUUAACACAUGCAAGUCGAACGGAGUACUUCUCCCGAGACCGAGGAAGCUUGCUUCCAAAGAAUCAUUUGAAGUACUUAGUGGCGGACGGGUGAGUAACGCGUGGGUAACCUGCCUCACACAGGGGGAUAACAGUUGGAAACGACUGUUAAUACCGCAUAAGCGCACAGUAUCGCAUGAUACAGUGUGAAAAACUCCGGUGGUGUGAGAUGGACCCGCGUCUGAUUAGCUAGUUGGUGAGGUAACGGCCCACCAAGGCGACGAUCAGUAGCCGGCCUGAGAGGGUGUACGGCCACAUUGGGACUGAGACACGGCCCAAACUCCUACGGGAGGCAGCAGUGGGGAAUAUUGCACAAUGGGGGAAACCCUGAUGCAGCGACGCCGCGUGAGUGAUGAAGUAUCUCGGUAUGUAAAGCUCUAUCAGCAGGGAAGAUAAUGACGGUACAG